CAUCUUCUCUGUCAGCAAAGGCCACAGCCUGCCUUCCCCGACAAGGUAGGGCCUCCCUAAUGAGUCUGUGGUAUCAAGAGGAUGGAGCGGAGGUGUGGCUGCGUGUGGGGAUGAAUAGCGCUGUCUUUGAGGCAGAUGAGGAUGAGUUACGUCCACUGCAGCACAGUAUACAUCACAGCUAAUGAAGACAGAGUUGGCUUUUCAUUGAUGUCCUCCAGUAUUCUGCUCUUUCAAUGCUAAUUCAUCAUCCAUCAAGCUGACUUGACCACCAGCGUCAUCUGCAGGGGUGACAGGAUGCGGAUCGGCAGGAGAGCGCCGCGGUGGGUCCAUGAUUAGACCAGAUCGGAACUGCAGGGUGUGGUGUUCUCUGUACCGCUGUCACACACAUCAAACAGUCAGGCGUCCCCAUCAGGUACGAAGGAGCAGCAGGAAACUGAGAGACUGGAGGUGGAGAGUGACUCAAAGCUUCACUCCAGUUCUCCUGUGUCUUCACUGCCCCUCUGACCUCUGGGCUGCGAUCCUGGUAUUAUAUGUGUUGUGGGGACACCGGCUAAAAAGUUGCAUUACAAGGACAUGUCUCCCUUAUGGGGACGUAAGUCAUUAACGUGAAGACAUGUUUUAGGUCACAUCUCGGAUAAAGUUAGGGUUAGGGAUAUAGAGUUUUUGGUAAAGGUAAUAGUUUGUGUUAUAAGUCAAUGUAAUGUCCUCUGAUAUCAUGGACAACGUCAGUAUAUAGGCAGAUGCAGGUGUGUGUGACAACCACAGGGAUUUGGUGGUGAAAAAAAAUGAAUGAGUGUAAAUGAAUUAACCCCGAGCAUCUCUCACACUCGCAGAAAAAACAAAUUUGCACCUGAUUCACACUCACCUGGCUGCAUAAUUCAUGAACUUCUCACAUAAAAGAAAAGCAUAAAGAUGGUGAACACGGAGAGAGCUUUUAAUGCUGCAAUUUACAUAACUCCAGACACUUUCUACAGAAUGUACUAUUAAUUUUACAGGCAAGUUUCAUGGAGCACAAUUCAAAUGUGAACAGGAGGCUUUUAUGUGUCUUAUUAAACACUGUAAAGGACAGAUUUUACUGUUACACAAUGGAGAGGAUCUCGUUUGAAAAACAGCAAUACACCACUUGUUUCUGAGCUUUCUGCCAAAACAAAGUCAAAAGAGAAAAUGUGGUAGAAACUUUCACUGGACUAUGAAUGCUGUGAACAAACUAGUUCUAUCAUAGUGUUGCACUUCGUUGUACUUAUGAUUGUGGAGGAAGUGGCCAAGUAGUUUUAAGAAAUGAAGCAUUUCUGUUUUUUAUUUAUUUAUUAUCCUGUGAGUCAUGAAGGCAAAGGACAUCUUCCGCCAUUGUAAACAUUUAACAAUUCAGCCAAUUAAAACCAUGUUUCUGAAGUAUACUUUGAAAACUAUAAUACGAUGUGCAUAUGGUGUUCAGCAGGAGAUAUACUUAUUUAUUAUUACUUAUCAUUAAAUUUAAAAUGCAUUUAGAUUAGGGUUUUACUUUGAUGCAGCGAGGGUCAGGCAUGCAUGCAG